rnacentral:rRNA from 1 species
UACGGAGGGUGCAAACGUUGCUCGGAAUCAUUGGGCGUAAAGCGCACGUAGGCGGUCCGGUAAGUCGGAUGUGAAAGCCCUCGGCUCAACCGAGGAAGUGCAUUCGAAACUGCCGGACUUGAGUACGGGAGAGGGAUGCGGAAUUCCCGGUGUAGAAGUGAAAUUCGUAGAUAUCGGGAGGAACACCAGUGGCGAAGGCGGCAUCCGGGACCGAUACUGACGCUGAGGUGCGAAAGCGUGGGGAGCAAACAGG